GUGGAAUUUACUUCUCCAUCUGCAGAACUAGCAAAGUGUCUGGAGGUGUCUCUUGAAAAUGGCUAUAAAACUUCUUGUCAAAUUGGAGUACUUUGGAAUAUUUAGGAAAAGUUGGCAGAGAGGAGACAGGACUAAAGUGCAGCUCCCACUUGGAUGAACUGAACAGUGUGUGGAGACUCACAUUGUGAAUUUUUGCUCCAAGAACUACCUCAGGAACAUACCAGAAAAACCAAAAGAAUUCACAGACCCUUUGAAAAAAGUGGCUUGCCAGUGCAAACUCCAUGAGACAGCUGAAAAACUGUGCUCUCUGUACACAGAGGGUUUUGUCUGUUUGGUCACCGAUAUAUCUUCAGUGCCCAGAACAGUGCAUGGCAAUGGCAGACUCUCAACUGAUGGUUUAAAGAGGUUGUCUUUUCCAAGGCCCAUCACCUGCUUCACAGAAUUUUCAGCUCUUUUGACAAUUUCCAAGACAAGGGAUGAGUUCCAGCCACCAUGUCAUGAGGAGACCCUGGAUACCCCAGCUCAGAGCCUAGAGUGAGUAUUUGCAUUGAAGAGGAAACGUCGUAUAUUUGAAAUGCACAUAAGAAGACUACAUUUCCCAGCAUCCCUUGCAAUUGAGCUCACGUGAUUAGCUCUAGCCAAGAGGUGGCAAGCAGAAGAUACUUGAGUCUCUUCCUGGUGAAAUAGAAUGAAAGCACUGAACACAGAUGUGAAGUCUCUGUGCUUUUACUUCCGUCACUGUGGUGAAUUGGCAUCCAUAUGUUGAAAUGACAUCACAAGACAGAAACAAUUAGGGUCACUGAGUCACUGCAAGAAAGAGAGCUGCCCUGGAGAGUCAUCUAGAAUCACAGCAAUCUUCUGUAUAUUCAAGAAACAAAGCUUUGUUUGUACUGAGAUUGGAGGUUGUUAUUGCAGCAGAGUACAGCCUAUCCUAACCAAUACAGAAAAUAUAGUAGGCAAAAUAAGGGCACCCAAAAAAAUGCUCAUUUCCUAAUCUCCAGGACCUGUAAACAAGUUAUAUCAUAUGGCAAAGACAAAUCAAAGUUGCAGAUGGAAUUAAGGUUGCUAAUCAGCUAAUCUGGAGAUGGAGAGAUUGUUCUAGAUUAUCUGAGUAAACCCUAUGUAAUUACAAAGGAUCUUAAAAGCAGAAGAGAGAAUCAAAAGAAUCAGAAAGAUGGCAGUAUGAGUGGGACUUGGCCCAAUGUUGCUGGCUUUGAAGAUGAAGGAAUGAGGCCAUGAGUCAUCGAGUAUGGUAGCCUCUAUAAGCAGGAAAAGGCAAGGAAAUGGUUCUACCCUAGAAUGUUCAGAAAGGAAUGCACCCUACCAACACCAGUCUUUGCCUGGGUAAGGUAUAUGUUCCACUCCU
rnacentral:lncRNA from 1 species